rfam:Daphnia magna strain Xinb3 contig19806, whole genome shotgun sequence.
AGCGCUUUUCGGCCUUUUGGCUAAUAUCAAAGUGUAGUAUUUGUUCGUAUCAGCUUAAUAUCUGAUACGGGUUCCAGAGAACCCCGGGUAUCCUAGACUGAUAGAUUUUUUGACCAAGUGAUGCUGCUGAUUGCCUGAAACCUUUUCGGGCAAUCUUGGCUCACUUCC